rnacentral:rRNA from 1 species
UACGUAGGAUGCAAGCGUUGUCCGGAAUUAUUGGGCGUAAAGAGUUCGUAGGUGGUUAUCUAAGUCUGGUGUUAAAGACGGGAGCUCAACUCCCGCAUGGCAUCGGAAACUGGAUGGCUAGAGUGUGGAAGAGGUAACUGGAAUUCCUGGUGUAGCGGUGGAAUGCGCAGAUAUCAGGAGGAACACCGGUGGCGAAGGCGGGUCUCUGGGCAGUAACUGACGCUGAGGAGCGAAAGCGUGGGGAGCGAACAGG